rnacentral:rRNA from 1 species
UACGUAGGGUGCAAGCGUUAAUCGGAAUUACUGGGCGUAAAGCGUGCGCAGGCGGUGAUGUAAGACAGUUGUGAAAUCCCCGGGCUCAACCUGGGAACUGCAUCUGUGACUGCAUCGCUGGAGUGCGGCAGAGGGGGAUGGAAUUCCGCGUGUAGCAGUGAAAUGCGUAGAUAUGCGGAGGAACACCGAUGGCGAAGGCAAUCCCCUGGGCCAAAACUGACGCUGAGGAGCGAAAGCGUGGGGAGCGAACAGG